UGUCCGUCACGUGGUAAUAGGUAUACCUAUUUUAUGAAAUUAUUACAAAGAUAUCGAUUAAGAAUAAAAGAUGAUCUCGAUAUUAUAGGUAUAUCUCUUCUGUAUUCUUUAAAUUUUAAGGUAAUAUUUUUCUAUUCAUUAGUGUUUUUUGCCCUUUUCUCCUUUUAUUCAUAUUUGAACACCAGUGUUCUCUGUUCUUUUUUUAAAUUUUUUUUUGGUCCAUUUUUCUGUAAAUUUUAUCCAUUCUCCGAUAUUCUUUCCUAUCCAGAUUUCAGACCUUAAUAAAAAAAAUACUUGAUGGGCACAAUGGUAUUCACACACACUAAACAAUACACUAUAUGAUUUAGAAAAAGAACAAAUAUAUUCAGCUG
rnacentral:lncRNA from 1 species